rnacentral:rRNA from 1 species
CAAGUCGAACGCGAAAGUUUCCUUCGGGGAGCGAGUAGAGUGGCGCACGGGUGAGUAACACGUAGGUAAUCUACCUUUGGAUGGGGAAUAACAACCGGAAACGGUUGCUAAUACCGCAUAAUGCAGCGGCACCUAAUGGUGACAGUUGUUAAAGCGGGGGAUCGAAAGACCUCGCGUCUGAAGAGGAGCCUGCGGCGGAUUAGCUAGUUGGUAAGGUAAUGGCUUACCAAGGCUAUGAUCCGUAACCGGCCUGAGAGGGCGGUCGGUCACACUGACACUGACAUACGGGUCAGACUCCUACGGGAGGCAGCAGUCGGGAAUUUUGGGCAAUGGGCGAAAGCCUGACCCAGCAACGCCGCGUGAAGGAUGAAAUCCCUCGGGAUGUAAACUUCGCAAGAACAGGAAGAAUAAGUAAGGGUUAAUAUCUCUUACGAUGACGGUACUGUUUGUAAGCUCCGGCUAACUCCGUGCCAGCAGCCGCGGUAAUACGGGGGGAGCAAGCGUUGUUCGGAUUUACUGGGCGUAAAGGGCGCGUAGGCGGCCACCGCAAGUCGGUUGUGAAAUCUCUGGGCUUAACCCAGAAAGGUCAACCGAUACUGCGGGGCUAGAGUGCAGAAGGGGCAACUGGAAUUCUCGGUGUAGCGGUGAAAUGCGUAGAUAUCGAGAGGAACACCUGCGGCGAAGGCGGGUUGCUGGGCUGACACUGACGCUGAAGCGCGAAAGCUAGGGGAGCGAACGGGAUUAGAUACCCCGGUAGUCCUAGCCUUAAACGAUGAAUGCUUGGUGUCUGGGGUUUUAUAGUCCCCGGGUGCCGUCGCUAACGCUUUAGCAUUCCGCCUGGGGAGUACGGUCGCAAGACUGAAACUCAAGGAAUUGACGGG